GGGGGAGGCAGGGUGCUGAGACAAUCCAGCUGACAUUUUAAGCAGGAAACGCAACCAUCUGAAUGUAAAGGAGAUAAACCCAGUCUUUACACAGACUGUUCACUCUGGGGAAAUUGAGGUAAAGCGGAACAGGAUUUGGAGCUGGGAAAUGAUGACUGGAGCAAGCAUCUUUGAGAUCACCCUGGCUCUCCCUGCUUCGUGGUUGGUAACCCCUUCUGAGUAUCUAGAAAUGGUGAAAAAGUCAAGGUGAAAAACUCAUGAGGGAUGCUUUUUCCUUUAUCAAAAUUUACACGUAUUUAAAAACAUUGACUUUGCCAAAUAACAUAAAUAGAAAAGAAGUAUUUGUAUAUAAUGGCCUCACAAGGGUCAGUCUUCUCACCACUUCUACAUUUCUAGGACUCUGGAGAGGAGGAAAUGCUUGCUGUCCUCCAGAUCUGAGACCCCAGGAGUUGUUCACCUAGUACUUGUUGCUCUGAAUUUCUUUCAUGGGGCGGGGGGAGCAAAACUUAAAAUAAAAAUAUAAGCUUAAUAUACAAAGUCUCCAGGAAAAUGAAUGUGUGAUCUUAAAUUGACUUUAAAAUGUAAAUGAAGAACAGGAUCAUGUUUUCACUGCGAAGCUCUCACUGGGGCUGGAGAGAAGCUAAUGGUUUGUGGAGGUCAUCAGUGCGCAGUGCACAGCAGCAUCCUUGGGACAAUGACAAGCAUAUCAGCUCUACCCUGUGGUAACCGAAGACUGGAUGCAGAUUUUAUUUCUGCAUAUGAAGGAUCAUAACUAGAAGAGGCAAAUUAUGUAAAAUAAAAUGAAUACCAUUGCUUAUAUAAUUUCUAGACAUAACUUAAAAGUACAGAUUUCAUGGACUUUUUUUUAAAAUGAGGAUCUUGCAAAAAUUAAUCAUUUCAUUUGUUUGUCUUUCUUUUAGAAUGCCGUACAUGUACAAUUUCCUAGUUAUUAAAAACUGAUUUGUAGGGCAUAGGGGAGGGAGGGGGGAAUAUUUCUAAAGAAUCACAAAAUCAUAUUAUUUAAGGUGGUCUUAAAACCUCAGGAGAGCCCAGACAUCUAUUUUGUCAUCAAAGUGUAUUUUUAAGAAAAGUCAGAAAAACAUUAUGCACUGUGACAAAUCCAUAGUUUUAGAGAGGGAAACUGUCUUAGAAUAGAACACUUCUUUUCAAAGAGCAGCCCAGCAAACGCAGCAUUGCCAAAGUUAGAGCAGAGAGAUUUGUCUUCUGGGUCCCUGUUAUAAUCUGCUGGAAGGUCCUGUCUUUUAGUUAUCGCAUGAAAGUAUCCAUGCAGCUACCGAGAAAGAAUAAUUUCUUUUUCAUCAAGUGAGCCACUGACAUUCUGGCAGCCGUUUAAAGAUUACUACUGUGUGCUGUUGCUUUGGCUUCAAUCUCCAUCACAGGCCCAGUGAGGAAGCCAUUUCUAAACAUACUACUCUAAGAGAAGGAGGUAGCAUCUACAUGACAGCCUGUUUGUGUGUGUCAGGGAGAUCUUCCCAGGGAUCCUUACAAAUAUAAAUUGAGUGUGGUCUGCCCAGACAAUUCUAUAGGGCAGAACUAUAGAAAUUUACUAACUGAAAUCUGGGGUAGGUUUCCUCAAGCUAGAGUUACUUAAAGCUGCCAUAAGGGAAACCUGCCUAUGGAUGAGUUGAAGAUGUUUUAGACAGGCCUAGACUUGCAUGUGAAUCACUGCUCAGAGGAGCUGACUGUAGUUCACUCUGAGUUUCAUCCCAGAAUAUGAGUGCUUGUCGACUGCAUAUUAGAAAAGGAUCAGAUGGUUCAAGUUGUCUUUUGAGUAGGCAUCUGAGCAGGCUUUUACUGGGAGGUGAGCUCUUUUCUUGCUGUUUAUCACUAUGAUUCUGUCAAGGAUGGAACAAGACCGGUAACUUUUCUUUUUUUAAUUCCAAAAUUUAAAUGUAUUUAUGAAUCAUAGACAUAAAAGCCAAUCCUCUUGGGGUGAGUUAACAAUAGAGCUAAAGUGAAAGAAUCCAUGGUUGGAAAUCAACUGUCCUUGGUUGUUGCUAACACAGUACUAGAAGUUCCCAAGAUGUAUUUCUAUUCCUCUUCUCCAUUAGCAGCUUGACAGAAGGAUGAUGCUCAUAAUAGCAAGCUGCCAAGACGAAGAGAAUAAAGCUUGCAUAUAAUGGACACAUCUGACCAUGUUAAUUCAAUAAGCCAGACUGAAGCCUGUGGUGUUCAAAGAAGAGUGUGACCCUUUGGGGGCGGGGGAGGGUUGGCGACAGGGAAUAGGGGACCCAAUGACACUACUUGCAUCUAAAGCCUCAGCCUUUACUAGGGAAGACAGCAGCCACACUGAUGGGUACUUCUCUUAGGAGAAAGUCAGAACAGAAUUGAGGAGGUAGAAACAGGAGCCAUUAAUGCCACUGGCAGUUAGGGAAUGAUUAUAAAAGGUGAGAUAAAAUUUGGGCUUAGAAGAUAGAGGAAUUUGAGUAUGUAGAGACAUGGGAACCGAAGAAUGAUGAAGCCAAAGACUUACAGAGCUGGAUGGGAAGAUGACCACACUUUGAAAACAGAGAAGUUUAUUUAGAUUGUAUUUUUAUCCAGCUUAUAACUUUACUUAUUUAGAAAAUAUGUCUGUUUGCAGGAAUGUUUUCCAGCACUUGACAUGCAAGGUUAAUUAGUGCUGUGGUAGGAGAGUUAUGGAAAGCCCAAUCAAUGAUGCUAAAGUCAGUUCAGCCAGAAACUCCUUGUAGAAGUUAAGUUUGUUGGUUAAGUGUAAUGCUGCAUUGUCUGGCUCUUUUUUUUUUUUAAAUCUUUGGACUUUUGGAUUCUAUCUCCAACAUACAUCAUGCAUUGCAGGAAAAUUUUCUUGUAGCUCUUUCAUGUUCAAUGGAUUUGGUUAAGAAUAACUUGUCAGACAUAAUAGAACAUUUUCAAAAAAAAUUACAUGUGUUUAUUUUCCCUGUUGGGGAAGGCAUGCGUGCUCCAGAAUGCAUGUGGUAGUCAGAGGACAACUUGUGGAAGGGGGCUCCCUCCUUCCAUUACUUGGCUCCCAGGGAUCAAAAUUGGGACAUCAGGCUUGGAGACACAUGCCUUUAUCUGCUAAGCCACCUUGCUGGCCCAUAACAGAGUGAUCUUUAACCUAUAUGCUCCACCCACUUUAUCCCACCCCUGCUCAAAAGGGUGCUCUCAAAUCACAGUGUUGGCUGGCAGAAUAAGUGAGAAAUGAUAAACAAUUACAGAAAUAUAUUUUUAAAUUGCUGUUUUGCUGUGAGCCAUAUGUGAAUGCUCUAGUUCUAGCUUGCCUCUCAGUGACUCACAGUUGGUCCCAGAGCCUGCCUCUUCUCAAGGAGCUAGGUGUUCAUGUGCUUGGCCAGCUCAGCUUUCAUGGUGAGUGGAAAGGGGCAGGAAGAUAAUGUCAUAGAAGUGCUACCAGAGCAGCAGCAUAACCACUGUGCUUCCUCGCCACAUCUCAGGUCAAUGCAUACAAUUCUUGUGUUGUUUUUGUUGUUGUGCCAGACUCUACUUCAUCCCACUUCUCCCCAUUUUGUGUCUGUGGCCACUGCAAUUCUUCGUGUUGUCUUAAACUCUGAUAAUGCUGACACCCUACAAUUUCCUCUUACAUUUUUUUCAGUAUCAUUUUUAUGGUAUCCUAUAAACUACCUCAUUAAUCAGAUAGUGUAAAAUCCAAUUAGAGACAUUAGAAUCCAGAAAUACAAGUGUUAAGGAAUGUAUUUCUUGAUUGACAAGGAAGCCAAAUAGACCCAUCUAUUUAGAAUCUUAGCAACAAUUAGCUGCCUUAGUUUCAUUUAUUGUGACAUAAAAAAUCUGGUUUAUUGAGAGCUCUAUUGAAGGAGAUUUCUAUGAUAUGCACCAUGAGAAAAUAUCUUCAAACUAAAAUGAUUGUUUCGCUGUAAUAAAUUGAACCAUAUGUACACUGUGUUAUUCAAUCUUUUUUUCUUCAAGGCAUAAAUUGAUAUUAAAGAACGUUUAAGUCAUAACACAUGGUUAUCCAGGCAUGAACGAGGCAAUAACCCAUAUAAGUUGCCAAGGUGAAGCCAAAGCAUUUAUUAGAGGUUUGUGUUGUUUUUGAAAAGUGCAUGGUUGGAUAAACACGGAUUAGUGCUAUUAUGCUGCUACGAUGACUCAAGUGUGUUUUCCCAGUGUCAGUAAUUUUUAUGUUUAAAAAUCACUGGUGCAGUAUAUUAGCUAUAAUUUAUGUUUAUCAUCUUGUGUACUCUAAUAGGUUUCAACAAACCAUUUAACACUUCAGCUUGUGCAUAUACAUUACUUAAUAGGUAUUUAUCUUAAAAAAGAGAUACUUAACGGGACUUUCAAAGCUUUCAACUGCGUGCUAGGAGAGGAUACUGCAGUGUAUCACGUUAACUUUCUUCCUCCUGUUCGCAGUUAACUUUGAACAGUCUGGCUAACUUGUGUCUUUGUUUGAUGCACCUCAGACCAGCACAAGAAGAGGAGAGUCUGCUAAUGUCCUUGCCAGCCGCACCGAGUGUCCGCCCGUCACACUUCCUAAUAGUGAGGCUGUAGCAUAUAGCCAGCACAGCUGAAAACAUGUCAGAGGCUCACUGAUCAGUUGCCACAUUGGGGUGCCCUUUCACAAAGGGCUGGUGUACUUCCUAGCAGAGCUGUGUGACUGAAGCUGUUCAUGGCUGCUAUGAACUGGACUCUGCCUUAGGAGAGCAACUGAGAGGACUCUAGGGGUGAAAGUAUGAGGGAGGGAGGCUUAGAGGGGAGUCACUUGGGAUUCCUGGCUAAGAAGAGGUUUGCUGCAGCCACACAAGAGUGGGACUUCAUUUAUCAUGGCACUAUUGAUUCUUCCACAUAGUGCUAUGCUUAUUGUUUUUGCUGCAAUGAUGACCUAUUUCUCUUUUGGAUAUUGUAGGUAGAUGAAUUACCAGAGUUUAGUCUCCCCAUAAAGGAGAUUGAUCCAUAUUUAAAAUGUACCAAAAGUUGGCAAAGUGAUAAAAUUUUGUCUUUUCUCUUCUCUCCCACAAGUUACCUUUGUUUUGACCUUUUGAGACACAAUAGACACAGAGUUAGAGCAGAAAUACAUGUGAAUCUCUUCUCACUCCUGAAACAAACAGUGCCACCUUUUACAUUUGUGAGGAGGCUGCAUGAGAGUUUGCUGGGGAAUCCUGGAAUUAUUAAUAUACUGAUCUCCUCGGUGGUACAUUUUUAGAAAUGGACUAUGAAUUCUCUGGAGUCAGUCAACCACACCAAAAUGGCUGAGUUAGCACCGAAAGGGUUUAUUAUUCUCCAGAGACAAUCUGCCUAGCAUGGCUAGUGCUAGGCUCUGCCAUUUCUCUGAUUAAACAUUUGUCCUUAUACACACAGAUAAGUGUAAUAUACACCAACCAUCAAGAAAACUUCUCUUUGCCAUAGACAGAUCAUUACAGAAAGCCAGAACCAAUAAAAAUGCAGAAUUGUGUAAGCCGGCCCCAGUGGAUGCAUCUACAAAACAAGCCCACACCUAAGACUCAGGAAACACUGCAGAAAAGGAGCCAUGAAGACUAUAAGAGCCAGAGGAUCAAGGAGUUUACUGUGAAAUUAUGUCUUCUAGGAAUGGCAGAAGCUACAUCCAUAAAGCCUCACCCAUGACUGUCUAAAUGUGAUCUGAGUAAGAAUGACCAACUGAAUGGAGAAAAGUCUUAGCUUGACAUAAAGAACAAUAGGCAACAAAGGAAGUAGCCUUACCCAGGAAAGAAUACACCAAUUGGUUGUCCAGUGCCCAGUGGUCAGCAGCUCUGAAAAUAUGUAUAAAGACAGCAGUAUACAACUGAACAUUUUACAUUUAGGGACAAAUCUAUCUAUCUAUCUAUCUAUCUAUCUAUCUAUCUAUCUAUCUAUCUAUCUAUGCAUAUGCCAAUAUAUGUCAAUAUAAUUUUAUGAUCUUUUUGAUAUUAGCAACCUCCCAUCAACUGGACAAAAAAAUGUUUAUUAAACAUUUCAAACUUUCCUACUUCUAUCUUACUCUUUAAAUUGCAUGUAAAAAUAUCAUAGCUGAUUCAUAUGAAAAUGAAUAUGAUUGUGUUCUCCGUGAAAAGAAUUAGAAAGGAGCUCAUUAUGCACAAACAUUACAGAUUCAAAAGAGUCAAGAAGGAUAACCAUCUCUGCUCAUACUUCCAGUGGAGCUUUCUAGGAUAACUAAUGAUGAACCUUAUGUUUGAGCUGUCUUAUAAAGUAGUCACUAACCACAUAUACUAGUCAGCACUUCAUUAUUUGAUUAGUGACACUUAAGAACUACUUCAUUUUCUUGAUUUUAGGUUCUCCUGAGACAGUCUUUCAUAUAGCCCAGGCUGGCCUUGGAUGUUCUAAGUAGCCAAGGAUGGCCUUGGUUUCUGAUCUUCUCCCAUCACCUUCCAAAUGCUGGAAUUAUAGUGCAUCAUGACUCAGAGAUUAAAUGGUUUAAUAUAUUUGAUUUUAAUGGUAAUAGGUACAUGUGGCUAGUGACUACUGUGUUGGAUAUUAAAGAGCUGUUUACCUGUGGAAGCAGGGUCAGACAAAAAGAACAGAGCUGGUUGUAACAGGAAGAUGUUACAACUGCCCUCUUUCAGAGUCAUUUUGGAGAAGAUCAGAAAGUGUGAGAAUAAAGGUGGGGAGCCAUAAAGAUUUUGAAAUCUGAGAAGUAAGCAUGCUCUGAAAUUAUAAAGGUACCAAAUAUCUGAAAUAAAAAGAUAUCUGUCUACACAGUGGGAGAAGGAGGAUCCGCAGCCGAUACUAGGUCUGUCAGAACUUUGACUUUGAACUUUGAGCGUCUGGAUCUAUAAGAAAUGAAUGUUCUGUUUUUACCGACCCUAGAUAUCAGAUCCUAUUCUAGCAGAGCAAACUGGUUAAGACAAAGGGCCUCUUGAUAUAAACAUUGCUCAACUGCAGCAGAAAAUACAUGUUUUUGCAUGUAUGGGUCCUUGUCUGUCAAAUCUCAAAAGAUGCUAUCUUCCAUCUUCAUUUUAG
rnacentral:lncRNA from 1 species